rnacentral:rRNA from 1 species
AUUGAACGCUGGCGGCAGGCCUAACACAUGCAAGUCGAGCGGAUGAAGGGAGCUUGCUCCUGGAUUCAGCGGCGGACGGGUGAGUAAUGCCUAGGAAUCUGCCUGGUAGUGGGGGAUAACGUCCGGAAACGGGCGCUAAUACCGCAUACGUCCUGAGGGAGAAAGUGGGGGAUCUUCGGACCUCACGCUAUCAGAUGAGCCUAGGUCGGAUUAGCUAGUUGGUGGGGUAAAGGCCUACCAAGGCGACGAUCCGUAACUGGUCUGAGAGGAUGAUCAGUCACAAUGGAAAUGAGAAACGGUAGAGACACCCACUGGAGGCAGCAGUGGGGAAGAGUGGAGAAAGGGCGCAAGUCGGAUCAAGCUAUACAGAGUGGGUGAAGAAGGUCUUUGGGUUGGAAAGCUCUUUUGUUGGGCAAGAAAAGCAGCAGGUUAAUAUCCCGGUGCUAGGACGGUACCAAAAGAAUAAGAACGGGCUAAUGUCGUG